UCAGGAUGAACGCUAGCUACAGGCUUAACACAUGCAAGUCGAGGGGCAGCAUGGUAUUAGCUUGCUAAUACCGAUGGCGACCGGCGGAUGGGUGCGUAACGCGUAUCCAACCUGCCUAGUGUCCCGGGCAUAGCCCGUGGAAACGCGGAUUAACUCCCGAUGGUGCAGACGUGCCGCAUGGCGUGUCUGCCAAAUGCGAAGGACACAGAUGGGGAUGCGUACCAUUAGGUAGUCGGCGGGGUAACGGCCCACCGAGCCGUCGAUGGUUAGGGGUUCUGAGAGGAAGGUCCCCCACACUGGUACUGAGACACGGACCAGACUCCUACGGGAGGCAGCAGUGAGGAAUAUUGGUCAAUGGCCGAGAGGCUGAACCAGCCAAGUAGCGUGCAAGGAUGACGGCCCUACGGGUUGUAAACUGCUUUUAUGCGGGGAUAAAGAUUCGCACGUGUGCGAAGUUGCAGGUACCGCAUGAAUAAGGACCGGCUAAUUCCGUGCCAGCCGCUGC
rnacentral:rRNA from 1 species